AAGCAAAAAGCCCACUUGAUUGGUGGCGUUCAUAUGGUGGCCGAGCCUUUGAACUUCAAAGAUUUGCAAAACGUGUGGUUGGUCUUUGUGCUUCAUCUUCCGGAUGUGAGAGGAAUUGGAGCACCUUCGAAUUUAUGCAUACAAAGAAAAGGAACCGGUUGUUACACAAGAGGUUAAAUGACUUGGUCUUUGUUUCAUACAACCGAAAGAUGCAAAGUA